GCGCAACCCUGUCCUUAGUUACCUAGCACGUUAUGGUGGGCACUCUAAGGAGACUGCCGGUGACAAACCGGAGGAAGGUGGGGAUGGCGUCAAGUCAUCAUGGCCCUUACGGCCUAGGCUACACACGUGCUACAAUGGUCGGUACAAAGGGUUGCCAAGCCGCGAGGUGGAGCUAAUCCCAUAAAACCGAUCGUAGUCCGGAUCGCAGUCUGCAACUCGACUGCGUGAAGUCGGAAUCGCUAGUAAUCGUGAAUCAGAAUGUCACGGUGAAUACGUUCCCGGGCCUU
rnacentral:rRNA from 1 species